GUUCAUAAUCCAUAGCCCAUGUAUUAAUAAAAUCAUCACAUGAAAUAUAUGUGUCUUGUUUGUAGAUGUUGAUGAUAAGCUUUAUCCUCGAAGUUCUGGGCUGUUGGAGGAAGUUACCAAGAAUUUUCAAGGUAUAUAUAAUGCCUACACCUUAAUUUCCUCCUUCCUUAAUUAAUUAGAGCAUAUAUAGCCUUGUCCAGAAUACAUGAUUCAGAAGCUUGGUAUAUAUAGAAGAAACUGAAGCCUCUCAAAUGAAUGGUGUUCUGUACAAGAGUUAUGGCACAUCCAUGGCAGCUCUCAAGGUAUAUAUAUGGCCUUGUUGUCAUUGAAAAGAAAAAUGAAAUCAUCUUGACAAACCUUUUACCAAAAUCCAACCGAUUUACUGCUGUUCUGCGAUUUCUUUCCUCUUUCUAGGCCAUUGGUUAUGAUUUUGACAGCGAUGACUAUCACAGAUUUGUUCAUGGGAGAUUGCCAUACGAGAGGAUAUUCUCAAAUGCCGAUCAAGCACAUGUGGCUAAAGUUCUCAGCAGUUCAAGCUUUGAGGCCCUAAUAAUCCCUUUAAUUACGAAGACAUCAAUGCUUGUGAUGAAAUUGGAGUUCGGCUAUACACCCAAAAGCCAAAUUCUUGACAUCAUUGAACAUCCUUGUCCGUCUAAUCCUGUUUGAGUACUUCAAAAAACUCCAGUUGUCUGCAAACCUUUUGAAGAUGCCUUUGAGCUGGCCAACAUCAAUCCUCAAAAAAACAUCCAAGAACCAUUUCAAAAGUACACAGAAAUUCAGAUUACGUCUGGUAUGAUUUGUUAAC